rnacentral:rRNA from 1 species
AACGAACGCUGGCGGCAGGCUUAACACAUGCAAGUCGAACGCAUCCUUCGGGGUGAGUGGCAGACGGGUGAGUAACGCGUGGGAACGUGCCCUUCAGUUCGGGAUAACCCAGGGAAACUUGGGCUAAUACCGGAUACGUGCGAGAGCAGAAAGAUUUAUCACUGAAGGAUCGGCCCGCGUCUGAUUAGCUAGUUGGUGGGGUAAUGGCCCACCAAGGCGACGAUCAGUAGCUGGUCUGAGAGGAUGAUCAGCCACAUUGGGACUGAGACACGGCCCAAACGCCUACGGGAGGCUGCGGUGGGGAAUAUUGGACAAUGGUCGCAAGCCUGGUCCAGCCAUGCCGCGUGAGUGAUGAAGGCCGUAGGGUUGUAAGGCUCUUUCGUCCGGGACGAUAAUGACGGUACCGGAAGAAGAAGCCCCGGCUAACUUCGUGCCAGCCGCCGCAGUAACAC